rnacentral:rRNA from 1 species
AUUGAACGCUGGCGGCAGGCCUAACACAUGCAAGUCGAGCGGAUGAGUGGAGCUUGCUCCAUGAUUCAGCGGCGGACGGGUGAGUAAUGCCUAGGAAUCUGCCUGGUAGUGGGGGACAACGUUUCGAAAGGAACGCUAAUACCGCAUACGUCCUACGGGAGAAAAUGGGGGAUCUUCGGACCUCACGCUAUCAGAUGAGCCUAGGUCGGAUUAGCUAGUUGGUGAGGUAAAGGCUCACCAAGGCGACGAUCCGUAACUGGUCUGAGAGGAUGAUCAGUCACACUGGAACUGAGACACGGUCCAGACUCCUACGGGAGGCAGCAGUGGGGAAUAUUGGACAAUGGGCGAAAGCCUGAUCCAGCCAUGCCGCGUGAGUGAAGAAGGUCUUCGGAUUGUAAAGCACUUUAAGUUGGGAGGAAGGGCAGUAAGUUAAUACCUUGCUGUUUUGACGUUACCAACAGAAUAAGCACCGGCUAACUUCGUG